CAAGAAAACAUAAGAGGACAAGUACACCAAAAGUCAAAAGCCCCAGGAGUGCAGUCCAGAGAACCAGUCACCCAACCCACUAUCAUGUUCUUUUUAAUGAGAACAAGUUCAGUGCAGAUGCCUUGCAGAUUCUCACCAACAAUUUGUGCUACACGAGAGAAUUGAUCACAUGGCUGUUGCUUUGUCAAAGACAUUCAAGUCACCAGUAGUGGAUACCAUACAAUGUCUUCCUCAACAUCAACAGGGGUGGUUAUUUUCACAUGAUCCAUUUUGGAGGCCUGCACAAAUGAAGGUUAUAUUUACAAUUUUUGUUUUGGGUAUAUUGUUCCCUUUUAUUUAUCUGUUGUCAUUAACAAUGGAACAUACUUCUUUCCAGACACUUUACAUUAUGUUCCUGCAGGGAGGGUGGUAGUCCUUGAUCUGUUUGCUGAAAUGAAACUGAUAUGUGAAUUGAACUUAUAGAGUUAGAGUUUGAUUGAUUGAUGUAAUGAGUACUGCUACUUGUACAUUUUUAAUUGUCAUUUUGUAAAUGAAAUUACUUAUAAUGAUAAUCUGAUUGAAAUGUUUCUCUUACAUCUAAUUUGUCAUAUGGAUAUGGUGAUACAAAUGUGAAAUUGGUAGAAAUAUAAUUUUUUUUUUAUUAAAAAAAACCUUGUUUACGGCGUGCAAGCUGCGCCUUAAAUGGGAACUCAAUCACACUUUUACGGCACACAUUAUACGCCUUAAAUGGGAACGCAAUCAAGUCUUUUACGACGUGC